rnacentral:rRNA from 1 species
AGUGAACGCUGGCGGUAGGCCUAACACAUGCAAGUCGAACGGCAGCACAGUAAGAGCUUGCUCUUACGGGUGGCGAGUGGCGGACGGGUGAGGAAUACAUCGGAAUCUACUUUUUCGUGGGGGAUAACGUAGGGAAACUUACGCUAAUACCGCAUACGACCUACGGGUGAAAGCAGGGGAUCUUCGGACUUUGCGCGAUUGAAUGAGCCGAUGUCGGAUUAGCUAGUUGGCGGGGUAAAGGCCCACCAAGGCGACGAUCCGUAGCUGGUCUGAGAGGAUGAUCAGCCACACUGGAACUGAGACACGGUCCAGACUCCUACGGGAGGCAGCAGUGGGGAAUAUUGGACAAUGGGCGCAAGCCUGAUCCAGCCAUACCGCGUGGGUGAAGAAGGCCUUCGGGUUGUAAAGCCCUUCUGUUGGGAAAGAAAAGCAGCAGGUUAAUACCCCGCUGUUCUGACGGUACCCAAAGAAUAAGCACCGGCUAACUUCGUG